UACGAAGGGUGCAAGCGUUACUCGGAAUUACUGGGCGUAAAGCGUGCGUAGGUGGUGAGUUAAGUCUGUCGUGAAAGCCCCGGGCUCAACCUGGGAAUGGCGAUGGAUACUGGCUCGCUAGAGUCCGGAAGAGGCGAGUGGAAUUCCUGGUGUAGCGGUGGAAUGCGCAGAUAUCAGGAGGAACACCAAUAGCGAAGGCAGCUCGCUGGGACGUGACUGACACUAAGGCGCGAAAGCGUGGGGAGCGAACAGG
rnacentral:rRNA from 1 species